rnacentral:rRNA from 1 species
GGAAUCUUGCGCAAUGGGCGAAAGCCUGACGCAGCAACGCCGCGUGCGGGAAGAGGGCUUUCGGGCUGUAAACCGCUUUCAGUAGGAACGAAACUGACGGUACCUACAGAAGAAGGAGCGGCCAACUAUGUGCCAGCAGCCGCGGUGACACAUAGGCUCCAAGCGUUGUCCGGAUUUAUUGGGCGUAAAGAGCUCGUAGGCGGUUGAGUAAGUCGGGUGUGAAAACUUUGGGCUUAACCCAAAGAUGCCACUCGAUACUGCUUUGACUUGAGUUCGGUAGGGGAGUGGGGAAUUCCUUGUGUAGCGGUGAAAUGCGCAGAUAUAAGGAGGAACACCGGUGGCGAAGGCGCCACUCUGGGCCGAUACUGACGCUGAGGAGCGAAAGCGUGGGGAGCAAACAGGAUUAGAUACCCUGGUAGUCCACGCGGUAAACGGUGGUCACUAGGUGUGGGUCUCUUCAAACGAGAUCUGCGCCGUCGCUAACGCAUUAAGUGACCCGCCUGGGGAGUACGGUCGCAAGACUAAAACUCAAAUGAAUUGACGG